AUGGGGUUCUGUUGGCUCUCGCACCUAGAGCAGGUGGAAACGCUCAAACGGCCAGUUUUUAGUCCGCGUGCGGCCGGCACAGAGCCAAGGGCUGCCUUCCUCUCGGGAACUGAUGCCGCUGUAUCUCCCCACCGCCCAGCUUCCUGCCGGGCUGGGGCCAGGGCCGGAGGGAAUCCCCCUCACCUGGCGCCAGCAGUCCUCAUGCUCUUAGAACACGACUCCUUCCCAGAGAAAGGAAACACGAUUUUUAAGCACCUGCUGGACAUACACACGGUGGGGACAAGUGCACCUCGAGGCACUCUCAGUGCCCCUGAAGGAGUACCUCCCCUGUUCACAAGCACACAUGAGCGGUCGGGGUCAGCCAGAAGUCGACAGAAGCGCCUUCCGUGCCCAUUGUGCGAACGUCAGGACGGAGUCUGAAUGAGAAGGACUUGUCUCCGAGGCUGAAAGGCCGGCUGGAAGGAAACAGAGUUUUCCCAUACCAGUUUAUAUGGAUUAUUAAAAACACUCUAGAAAAAAAAAUCUGAGAAAG
rnacentral:lncRNA from 1 species